rnacentral:lncRNA from 1 species
GCGGGCAGCCGCCAGGGCGAGGCGAUCCGGUGCGGGGGCACUCCCAUGGAGCGCGGACUCCUAAGGAAGUCGCUGGGAGUCCCACCGGCUGCACCGCAGGGCGUUAGUACCUAGAUGGCUUCGGUGCCCCCAAACGAUGGGCUCAAGCUACAGGGCAGGCUUUGCACCUGGCCUUCUCAGCUCUGAGGCAGGCAGUGGGCAGCCUCGCCUCCACCCUCCGUCCAGCGCCCUUCCCAUGGGGCCAUCCGCCUCUCCCUAAGGCACUAAAAACCAGUGGAGGAGUCAGGCCAUGUUGGCAAAAAGGCCCAGGGCAGCAGCCCCAGACCUAUAGUCCUAAAUAUCCAUGUACCCAGCCCUGGGGUCACGAGCCAUCUCAGGGACGACCCGAUUCCAGCGGAUGGAGAAGUUCCCUGAAAACACCUGCCUGGGAGGAGAGACUAGGGAACAGGAUUGGGUAACAGCUUGCAGCAUGAUAAUACCAUGCAGUGUGAGGGAGCUGCAUGCAGUGGAGCCGCAGGGGUUAGUCAGGCCUCGCCCCUAAAUCCGCCUCUUGAAUAAGGGUCAGUUUCAGCCAAACCUGUCUUUUCCAGUUCCCUGGAGGUCAGUCUGCACAGCCAAUCCCUGACAGUGCUUUACCAUGGAACUGAAACCAUGAAAACUGAAACUGCAAAUAGGAGAGACUGCUGUAUAGUCACUGAAAAAAUUUAAUGGAUGAGCUCAACAGCAAAUUAGACACAACUGAAACCUUGGACCCAUGUGUGGAAGACGACAGCAUCACCAACUGGAGGGUGCCUGGAUCCCUUAGUCACCACUUGCAGUGAAAAG